GAUGAACGCUGGCGGCGUGCUUAACACAUGCAAGUCGAACGGUGAAGCAGAGCUUGCUCUGUGGAUCAGUGGCGAACGGGUGAGUAACACGUGAGCAACCUGCCCCAGACUCUGGGAUAAGCGCUGGAAACGGCGUCUAAUACCGGAUACGAGUAGCGAAGGCAUCUUCAGCUACUGGAAAGAACUUCGGUCUGGGAUGGGCUCGCGGCCUAUCAGCUUGUUGGUGAGGUAAUGGCUCACCAAGGCGUCGACGGGUAGCCGGCCUGAGAGGGUGACCGGCCACACUGGGACUGAGACACGGCCCAGACUCCUACGGGAGGCAGCAGUGGGGAAUAUUGCACAAUGGGCGAAAGCCUGAUGCAGCAACGCCGCGUGAGGGAUGACGGCCUUCGGGUUGUAAACCUCUUUUAGCAAGGAAGAAGCGAAAGUGACGGUACUUGCAGAAAAAGCGCCGGCUAACUACGUGCCAGCCGCCGCCGUAAUAC
rnacentral:rRNA from 1 species